CCUUCAAUGUUGCCUCGGCGGAUCACGCCCUGCUCCCCCGUAAAACGGGACGGCCCGCCAGAGGACCCAAACUCUAAUGUUUCUUAUUGUAACUUCUGAGUAAAACAAACAAAUAAAUCAAAACUUUCAACAACGGAUCUCUUGGUUCUGGCAUCGAUGAAGAACGCAGCAAAAUGCGAUAAGUAAUGUGAAUUGCAGAAUUCAGUGAAUCAUCGAAUCUUUGAACGCACAUUGCGCCCGCUGGUAUUCCGGCGGGCAUGCCUGUUCGAGCGUCAUUUCAACCCUCAAGCCCCCGGGUUUGGUGUUGGGGAUCGGCUCUGCCUCACGGCGGUGCCGCCCCCGAAAUACAUUGGCGGUCUCGCUGCAGCCUCCAUUGCGUAGUAGCUAACACCUCGCAACUGGAACGCGGCGCGUCCAUGCGGUAAAACCCCAACUUCUGAAUGUUGACCUCGGAUCAGGUAGGAAUACCCGCUGAACUUAA
rnacentral:rRNA from 1 species